UUUGCAUGACCGCCUCUGGAAUCCCAGCCUCACGUAUUUCGAUAUCAGAUGGGGAAAAUAAUAAUUCUGGUAUCAUGAAUCUCUCAUUUGAAAGAUUCAAAACUUGUUGCUCUAUUUUUUGAUUAAUAUCUCUAACAAUAUAUCCAUGUUUUCCAGUGCUGUAAUCGGGCAAAGCAUAACAAAUUUCCAAUUUUGACCGUGGUUUUUCGUGACAUAUCUCCAUGUCCUCCUUGAAGUUUUGAGACACAUAACAAACGGACUCUUUAAUUUCAUUAACAAUGUAUGUUUCUUCCAUCAUAUUGUACUUCCGGUAUGAGAUGACUUCUUUUAAAUAAU